GCAAGUUCAUAAGAGCAAACGGUGAAUGCCUUGGCAUCUGGAGCCGAAGAAGGACGUCGUAAUCUGCGAUAAGCCUCGGGGAGCUGAUAAACGAGCUGUGAUCCGAGGAUUUCCGAAUGGGGAAACCCCGCCAGGCCCCUUGUGGUGACCUGGUGACUCCCGCCUGAAUAUAUAGGGCGGGUAGAGGGAACGUGGGGAAGUGAAACAUCUCAGUACCCACAGGAAGAGAAAACAACAGUGAUUCCGUCAGUAGUGGCGAGCGAACGCGGAAGAGGCUAAACCGAGUCAUGUGUGAUACCCGGCAGGGGUUGCAUGGCCGGGGUUGUGGGACUUUUCGUUCCGGUCUGCCGGCCGGUGAACGUUACAGCGCAUCAUAGACGAACAGGUUUGAACGCCUGGCCAGAGCGGGUGCGAGCCCCGUAGUCGAAAUGGUGUUAUGGCGUGAAGAGUAUCCCAAGUAGCACGGGGCCCGAGAAAUCCCGUGUGAAUCUGUCAGGACCACCUGAUAAGCCUAAAUACUCCCAGAUGACCGAUAGCGGACAAGUACCGUGAGGGAAAGGUGAAAAGUACCCCGGGAGGGGAGUGAAAUAGUACCUGAAACCGUUUGCUUACAAACCGUCGGAGCCUCCUUGUAGGGGUGACGGCGUGCCUUUUGAAGAAUGAGCCUGCGAGUUAGUGCUCUGUGGCGAGGUUAACCCGUGUGGGGCAGCCGUAGCGAAAGCGAGUCCGAAUAGGGCGAUUCAGUCGCAGGGUCUAGACCCGAAGCGAAGUGAUCUAUCCAUGGCCAGGUUGAAGCGACGGUAAGACGUCGUGGAGGACCGAACCCACUUCAGUUGAAAAUGGAGGGGAUGAGCUGUGGAUAGGGGUGAAAGGCCAAUCAAACUUCGUGAUAGCUGGUUCUCUCCGAAAUGCAUUUAGGUGCAGCGUUGCNNNNNNNNNNNNNNNNNNNNNNNNNNNNNNNNNNNNNNNNNNNNNNNNNNNNNNNNNNNNNNNNNNNNNNNNNNNNNNNNNNNNNNNNNNNNNNNNGACGUAGGGCGAACGAUAGGCAAAUCCGUCGUUCAUAUAGCCUGAGAUCUGAUGGGUAGACGCAAGUCGAAAUCGGUGAUCCUAUGCUGCCAAGAAAAGCAUCGACGCGAGGUUCUAGCUGCCCGUACCCCAAACCGACUCAGGUGGUCAGGUAGAGAAUACUAAGGAGAUCGAGAGAAUCGUGGUUAAGGAACUCGGCAAAAUGCCCCCGUAACUUCGGGAGAAGGGGGGCCUGAGGCGUGAACGGACUUGCUCCGGGAGCGUUCGAUGGCCGCAGAGACCAGUGGGAAGCGACUGUUUACUAAAAACACAGGUCCGUGCUAAGUCGCAAGACGAUGUAUACGGACUGACGCCUGCCCGGUGCUGGAAGGUUAAGAGGAACGGUUAGCCGCAAGGCGAAGCUGAGAAUUUAAGCCCCAGUAAACGGCGGUGGUAACUAUAACCAUCCUAAGGUAGCGAAAUUCCUUGUCGGGUAAGUUCCGACCUGCACGAAUGGCGUAACGACUUCCCAGCUGUCUCAACCGCGAACUCGGCGAAAUUGCAUUACGAGUAAAGAUGCUCGUUACGCGCAGCAGGACGGAAAGACCCCGUGACCUUUACUAUAGUUUGGUAUUGGUGUUCGGUGUGGCUUGUGUAGGAUAGGUGGGAGACGUUGAAGCGGGCACGCUAGUGUUCGUGGAGUCAUUGUUGAAAUACCACUCUGGUCACUCUGGAUAUCUAACUUCGGACCCUAAUCGGGUUCAGGGACAGUGCCUGAUGGGUAGUUUAACUGGGGCGGUUGCCUCCCAAAGAGUAACGGAGGCGCCCAAAGGUUCCCUCAACCUGGUUGGCAAUCAGGUGGCGAGUGUAAGUGCACAAGGGAGCUUGACUGUGAGACUGACAAGUCGAGCAGGGACGAAAGUCGGGACUAGUGAUCCGGCAGUGGCUUGUGGAAGCGCUGUCGCUCAACGGAUAAAAGGUACCUCGGGGAUAACAGGCUGAUCUUGCCCAAGAGUCCAUAUCGACGGCAUGGUUUGGCACCUCGAUGUCGGCUCGUCGCAUCCUGGGGCUGGAGUAGGUCCCAAGGGUUGGGCUGUUCGCCCAUUAAAGCGGUACGCGAGCUGGGUUUAGAACGUCGUGAGACAGUUCGGUCCCUAUCCGCUGCGCGCGCAGGAAAUUUGAGAAGAUCUAUCCCUAGUACGAGAGGACCGGGAUGGACGAACCUCUGGUGUGUCAGUUGUUCCGCCAGGAGCACCGCUGAUUAGCUACGUUCGGAACGGAUAACCGCUGAAAGCAUCUAAGCGGGAAGCCGGCUUCGAGAUGAGAUUUCCAUCCCUUCGGGGGAGAGGCUCCCAGCCAGACGACUGGGUUGAUAGGCCGGAUGUGGAAGACAGGACUAAAGACUGUCGGAGCUGACCGGUACUAAUAAGCCGAUAACUUGAUAA
rnacentral:rRNA from 1 species